UACGUAGGGGGCAAGCGUUGUCCGGAUUUAUUGGGCGUAAAGAGCGUGUAGGCGGCCAGGUAGGUCCGCUGUGAAAACUCGAGGCUCAACCUCGAGAUGUCGGCGGAAACCAUCUGGCUGGAGUCCGGAAGAGGAGAGUGGAAUUCCUGGUGUAGCGGUGAAAUGCGCAGAUAUCAGGAAGAACACCCGUGGCGAAGGCGGCUCUCUGGGACGGUACUGACGCUGAGACGCGAAAGCGUGGGGAGCGAACAGG
rnacentral:rRNA from 1 species